GACGAACGCUGGCGGCGUGCUUAACACAUGCAAGUCGUACGGUAAGGCCCUUUCGGGGGUCCACGAGUGGCGAACGGGUGAGUAACACGUGAGUAACCUGCCCACAACUUUGGGAUAACGCUAGGAAACUGGUGCUAAUACUGGAUAUGUGCUCCUGCUGCAUGGUGGGGGUUGGAAAGCUCCGGCGGUUGUGGAUGGACUCGCGGCCUAUCAGCUUGUUGGUGGGGUAGUGGCCUACCAAGGCGGCGACGGGUAGCCGGCCUGAGAGGGUGACCGGCCACAUUGGGACUGAGAUACGGCCCAGACUCCUACGGGAGGCAGCAGUGGGGAAUAUUGCACAAUGGGCGCAAGCCUGAUGCAGCAACGCCGCGUGCGGGAUGACGGCCUUCGGGUUGUAAACCGCUUUCAGCAGGGAUGAAGCUUUUUGUGACGGUACCUGCAGAAGAAGCACCGGCUAACUACGUG
rnacentral:rRNA from 1 species